rnacentral:piRNA from 1 species
GGAUAUGUUGUUGCCCUUACAC